UACAAAUGCAACAGCUAUGUUAGGAUCUAGGGCAAACAACAUGGAUGGAUCUGUGAGAGAAAAUACUAUUCUUCAGGCUGUUGCAAGUUCGCCUGCUACUGAUAAUUACAACUUGGUAAACUCUGAUAAGUGGACCGCUCAUCCAUCUUCCUUAUCCGUGACCAAUACAGGAAUGGCUAGUAAUCACAUGGAUGGGAGGCCUGCAGCAUCUUCAACAGGAUGUGAGUCAUCAAAGAUUUAUAAUGCCUGGCCUGACCAAUCCCAAGCAUGUAACGCUCCCAGACCAAUAAAUCCAUCUUCCAGAAAUUUGUCUCAGCAGACAUCUUUCCAUGGAAGAGAUGGUCGAGGAGAAAAUACUGGUAGAUGGAGUAGGGAUCGGAGUUGGCAAAAUAAUUGGAAUUCAAACAGGCAUAGGAGGUUCCAGCCAAAUGAUCGAGCUUAUGAAAGGCAGCAUCCUUAUCAAAGCUCAUCACGCCAGCAGUAUCGUGGUGAACAAUGGAAAGGGCAGCCUGCAAAUGACUCCUCAAAACAAUUGGGAAAUGGGUCGUUUAAUCCCCCUGCUAAUGCUCCACAGCCAAGCAACAUUGACUGGGCGAGUCUUCAGGGUGCUUUGAACAGAAUUUCAGCUUCUGUGCAGCCUGCAUGCUCUGGCCUGGGAAGUGACUUGCAGCAAUCUCCUGCUAAUGUAACUUCGUCGACACUGAACUCUGUUGGAGGAUGGGCUUCAAGUGCUAUACCUUGUGUCAAUCUUGCCAAGACCCCGGAGAACAUAGGCGUCUUGAGCGACUUUCAGCAGCAGAACAAGCUCACUGAAUCAGCAGUAGCUACUUCUGCGAGUCAUGCAGUUUAUUGUGGUUCCAAUGCCACUGAGUCUAUGGACAGAUCAAACAGGAGGCAGGGGUUGGAAAGUAGCAGUUCCAAUACAAAACCACACAGUGAGCAGGCAUCUGUUGAUGUUCUAAAUUCUGAAAGUAUUCAACCAGCCAAUCCUCAGAAUGAUACAGAUGAUCAUACAAUACCUAUGAAUGAACUCGAUGCCAAUAUGAAGUGCCCUGGAGCACAUGAUAGAUCAAAUCCUGAAAACAAACCUGUCAACAACACUGUAGUAGGUCCUGCUUCUGUUGCUCCAAAUGCUUUAGGAUCUUCAAAUUUAUCUGAUGCUUCUGUUGCUGUCGAGAAAUUAGAAGCUUCAAGUUCCAGUGCACCUUCUUCAGCUCACCAACAAGGGUCUAACAGUCUAAGUACUAAUGCUGCUCAACCUGUAAACAUUGGUUGGGGAAUGGCUCAGCAGAAUUCAAACCCUGGUACAGGAACAGGACAGGAAACAGGACACUUGGUUCACGCAGCAAUCCCGGGUGCUGCAAAUAUGGGCUGGGGAAUGGUUACACCUGGACUCGUGAAUAUUGGGGCCCGCCAGCUCAGCCAACUAUGAACCCAAACCUAGGUUGGGCAAUUCCAACGCAGGGAAAUGUAAAUGCUAAUUUGGCUUGGGGAGCACAGGCAAUGGCAAACCCUAAUGCUGGAUGGGGAAUGCCAAUGCAGGUAAAUCCAGCAGCAGUUAAUCCUGGUUGGUUUGCACCUGUCAUUGGGG